CUGGAAAGUGAGCUGCGUUCAGGGGAUCUACGUGUUUGAGAGUGUGAGUUGGAAGCAGACAUUCAAGACAAAGGUGUUAAAGUUGGGAGGUCCUUUCUUCAUCUCUGGAGGUGGCAGUUGUUGACUAUGACCAUCCACAGUCAUCAACAUGCUUUUUUUACCCUGAAGCUGUCGAAAAAUACUGUGACUUAUGAGGAUUUUGAAAAAGAUAUGAUGAGUGCAAUCGAUGGUGGUUCCAGCCGUCCUUGAAGAACUGCAGGUGCCUUUGGAUUUGUGGAAGAAAGUUCCAGUGCAGGGCAUAGAUGUGGGUCUCUUCAUCUAGUUUGAGUAGACCCUCCCUCUCCAGGUUGCAGAAAGAAGUAUAGAAGAGGUCCACCACCCCCAAAGACAUCACUCCACAGUCGUUCUAUCCUGGAUAAAGAGACAACGGUUCAAAGACAUCCCUCCACAGUCGUUCUAUCCUGGAUAAAGAGACAAAGGUCCAAAGACAUCCCUCCACAGUCGUUCUAUCCUGGAUAAAGAGACAACGGUUCAAAGACAUCCCUCCACAGUCGUUCUAUCCUGGAUAAAGAGACAACGGUCCAAAGACAUCCCUCCACAGUCGUUCUAUCCUGGAUAAAGAGACAAAGGUCCAAAGACAUCCCUCCACAGUCGUUCUAUCCUGGAUAAAGAGACAAAGGUCCAAAGACAUCCCUCCACAGUCGUUCUAUCCUGGAUAAAGAGACAAAGCAGAAAAGCACAAGAGUGUGAGAGAAAGAGAUAUGUCAUUAUUGUUAAUCAUAAAAUCACCACAGUUGUCUACAGUCACAACUCUUUCUAUGCAAAAGAAUGUUUACUAAUCAGAGCAAUUUAGCAUGUGACCUAACUCACUGGGGUGGCGUCUGCGCUGCAUUAAGUGCUCUACUAACCGCCACAGAGCAACGUUUAUGCCAGAGGCAUAUUCAACAAGCUGGGACAAUGAUCAGGAUGUAUUUGUUAUAUAUGUGUAAAGCCUAUGUGGCGUCUGCGCUGCAUUAAGUGCUCUACUAACCGCCACAGAGCAACUAAACCUAACAGAACCACAAUGUCAAUCUGAUAACUCAUUGGCUUCUUAAACAUGUUUUUAUGCAAAUUAACAAAACAUAAUUGGCCUUUUAAGCUAAUAAGGUUGAUUUGAAGAAGUAUGAAAAU
rnacentral:lncRNA from 1 species